GUAAAGUUAGUUUAAAUAAAAUAAUAAAUUGUGGGUUUAUAGAUAAAGGUUUUACUUUACU
rnacentral:tRNA from 1 species